rnacentral:lncRNA from 1 species
UAAACCUUGUGAUAUUUGGAGGACCUCGAGAAGAGAGGAAUUUGCUCAAAUUUAUAAGAGAGGAAUUUGCAGGUGAAUUUGACAGUAAGUUCUUAGCUCGGCUUCCUAGCCUCAAGAGGCUUUCAAAAAUCCAAUCUGAGAUUCCUUAUUAAAGCUUCCAGCAAAGCGAACUUAAGAAGGCCUCCAUGGUAAAUUGCCUUUCUUGCUGCACCUAGGUAAAGAGUCAGGCCAAAUCCGAAUAGUCAGGUCAAAAUCAGACCAGCCUUAUUUUGUGAUCAACAAAAAUCUUUCUUCGAGAUUAUCUUUGUCAAAAGAGGGGUGACUAAAAAGGAAUUUUGUGUUUUCAGAUAUAAUGCACCCUUCUAGCUUCUUAGACUCCCACCCUAUACAUUGCCUUGGAGCUUCUUGCACCUCCUUGUAAACUGCAGCUGGCCUUUUCCCCCCGAGAAUCUGAAGAAGCUCUGGAGGCUGAAGCCCGGUGACUUGGCGUUAACCUCGAAGGAGCCAGCACUGCAGCAGACCGUGCACGGGCUGGAAUUCUCCCUGGACAAGCCACUGCCGGACCACUGAGGAAGUCCAGCAAAAUGUUCAGGUCAUGCAUGCCCUUGUAUGAGAGAGAGCCAAGACUGUGGACAACGCCACCAAGAGCAGGGACAUCUUAGCUUCAGGAAACUCCAAGAGUGGUGCUGCAAGACUUUCUUCAGCUGACCUCUGGAACCCACUGGACCAGUUAAUUCUCCACAUUCAACUCCUAGCUCUUUACUUCAAUACAACUUUUGUAGUAUUAUUUCUCUGUUUUAGGCAUCCCUCUUUUAAGAUGUCUGAUCUCCAGGACCCUAAAACAACUGACCUUAGCCACCACCUCUCAACAGAUGGUUCAACUGGUUUUAUAGAAACAACCAGCAAGAAUCCUAGGGAAAUUAUUUCUUAGGCCCUGCUUCAUCCCGCUCGAGAGAAAUGACAAACCAGCUAACCACGAAGGACCGCACUGCCCUCAGAGUUUCUAAGAGAAGUCUGAUCUACAUCUUUCCCCUCAUGACUCCCAGAAGAUGACUCCCUUGUUUACCUGCCUCUAUAAACCCCCAGGUCCCCUUCUUUUUUUUUGAGACGUUCCUCAUUAAUGAAUGUCCUCCCUAUUGCAAUAGUCUGAAUAAAAUUAUCUCC